rnacentral:lncRNA from 1 species
AGAAAGGCUUGGAUAGAUUUAAGCAGGAGGGGUCAAAGCGAGGCUCGAAACAGACAUGGCUUGCUGGAGCAAGGCCGGAGAUGGCCAUAAAAAUUGAAUCAACAAGGUCUAGAUGAAGCUUCUUUAUGGUCAGACCAUGAAACCUCAAUAGCCAAGCGUGUAUGCACCAUGGAAGGUUGGUAGGUGGUGAGACCACCAUAGAUUCAGGCCAGGAGGUGGCCAGAUAAGGUGAAUGAAACUCAUCGGAGUGGAGGGGAAGGUAGGAAGAUUCUAGUGAGAACCAGAAAUAGAGAGAUAGAUACGAGUGAGGAA